UACUACCUGAGAGAAUAAAGAAGCAUUCAGUAAAUGUUUAAUUUUAUUGUCCUGCAGCCUCACCACAGAAUCGGCGAAAUUUCGGAUGUGAUAAAGACGGUACAUCGGUCACCCCGAAAAAUACUCUGUGUAUUACGUUGAUGUGAGGUGAGCGUUCUGGGGCAAAAUGGCUGCCCUGCAUCACCCAGGUGGAUGCUACACAUUGGUGGUGGUUCAGAGCAGUCAGGGGCUUCCUGGGUGAGGCAGUGGAGUUCGGCUGUGUCGCUGUCCCAAGUCAGGACCUCUCUUUACGGCACAGGAGCCACUGAGGCGUGGAGAGGGGGUCACUCGCCAUCUUGGGGGAACACCACCCCGACCUGAUGCCUGGCUUCGUCCAUGAUCUCAGUCAAGAGGGAUGACUCCUCCAGUGACAUCUGAGAGCUCUCUUUAAGCCCUAGGGAAGAGAUCCGAAUGUAGUGUUAGGCCCUUCUGUCUGCGAUCUCAAAAAUGACUUUGUUUAUCAAGUCAUUCAAUUUUGGCAGCACCAUGACAGGCCAUUUUUAAUAGGAAGUUUGCUUUUAAGAAAGCUUAAAAACAGUGAAAUGUUGUCAUUAAAUGCUUAUCAGCAUAUAUCCCUUCAAAUAA